rnacentral:rRNA from 1 species
CUGCGUGAAGUUGGAAUCGCUAGUAAUCGCGGAUCAGCAUGCCGCGGUGAAUACGUUCCCGGGCCUUGUACACACCGCCCGUCACACCAUGAGAGUCGGGAACACCCGAAGUCCGUAGCCUAACCGCAAGGGGGCGCGGCCGAAGGUGGGUUCGAUAAUUGGGGUGAAGUCGUAACAAGGUAGC